GUGAGGAAUCUUCCGCAAUGGGCGAAAGCCUGACGGAGCGACACCGCGUGGAGGAUGAAGGCCUUUUGGUUGUAAACUCCUUUUCUGGGGGAAUAAUUGAUGAAGGUACCCCAGGAAUAAGCACCGGCCAACUACGUGCCAGCAGCCGCGGUAAUACGUAGGGUGCAAGCGUUAUCCGGAAUCAUUGGGCGUAAAGCGUGCGCAGGCGGUUUGGUAAGUUUGUGGUCAAAUCUGACCGCUCAACGGUCAAAACGUCAUAAAAACUGCCAAACUAGAGAAUGAUAGAGGCAACUAGAAUUCUGCAUGUAGGGGUAAAAUCCGUUGAUAUGCAGAGGAAUACCAAAAGCGAAGGCAGGUUGCUGGAUCAUUUCUGACGCUGUCUGCACGAAAGCGUGGGGAGCAAACAGGAUUAGAUACCCGGGUAGUCC
rnacentral:rRNA from 1 species